UACGGAGGGUGCUAGCGUUGUUCGGAAUUACUGGGCGUAAAGCGCACGCAGGCGGUUUUGUAAGUUAGAGGUGAAAGCCUGGAGCUUAACUCCAGAAUUGCCUUUAAGACUGCAUCGCUCGAAUCCGGGAGAGGUGGGUGGAAUUCCGGGUGUAGAGGUGAAAUUCGUAGAUAUUCGGAAGAACACCAGUGGCGAAGGCGGCUCACUGGACCGGUAUUGACGCUGAGGUGCGAAAGCGUGGGGAGCAAACAGG
rnacentral:rRNA from 1 species